UACGUAGGUGGCAAGCGUUGUCCGGAUUUACUGGGCGUAAAGGGCGUGCAGGCGGUCUACUAAGUCUAGGGUGAAAGCUCCCGGCUCAACUGGGAGAGGUCCUUGGAUACUGGUGGACUUGAGGGAUGCAGAGGAAAGUGGAAUUCCCGGUGUAGCGGUGAAAUGCAUAGAUAUCGGGAGGAACACCUGUGGCGAAGGCGGCCCCCUGGUUGGAUACUGACGCUGAUACGCGAAAGCGUGGGGAGCAAACAGG
rnacentral:rRNA from 1 species